CAGUAGGUGGCGGCAGACACGUUAUAUUUGUGUAAAUGUCAGUAUACCAGAGAAGAAGAUGACGCUGUUGCACCGUUGAAGUGGGGAACAGGAAGUUCCGGGUAGAAAACGACGAACUGUGCUGUUAUGGCGAUAGGGGUUGUGUCCGUUUCAAAUGUAUUAUUGUAGGCCGACUCAGAUUAAGUCUGAGGCCAUUAACAUAAACAGCGAGGUCAAACCGACAGUCACUGGGUCCUGAUAGUGACAGUGGAGCCCAGUUUGCUCUGCAGGGUCCAGAGAUGGCAUCAGUGAAGCUGGAAGACUGCAGUCAAACACUGGAGCUGAAUGUCAACAUUAAAGAUGAAGAGGAGGAGAUUGGUACAUCUGUUAGUCAUGCCCGACUCAGAUUAAGUCUGAGGCCGGUAACAUCAACAGUGACGACAAACCAAGCCUGCCACUCUCCUUCCACACUGAGUCCAAACCUACAGUCACUGGGUCCUGAGUGUGACAGUGGAGCCCAGUUUGCACUGCAGGAUCCAGAGAUGGCAUCAGUGAAGCUGGAAGACUGCAGUCAAACACUGGAGCUGAAUGUCAUCAUUAAAGAUGAAGAAGAGGAGGAGAAGAUUGGGGGAUCUGUUAGUCAUGGAGACCAUGUUGAGACAUUCUCUACAUCCAGAGAGCAACAGCUGGAAGAUCACAGAGCUAAGAGGUCUCACCACUGCCCACAUUGUGAAGAGAUUUUCCCAUUUCUAUCAAAGCUAAAAAUACACCUAAAAAUACACACAGGAGAGAAGCCUUACUCCUGCUCUGACUGUGGAAAAUGCUUCAAAACAUCAACGGUGUUAAAACUUCAUCAGAGAACACACUCAGGAGAGAAGCCUUAUUACUGCUCUGACUGUGGAAAACGUUUUAAAACAUCAACUCAGCUAAACGUUCAUCAGAGAACACACACAGGAGAGAGGCCUUUCUUCUGCCCUGACUGUGGAACUAGUUUCUCUCAACUUUCCCACUUAAAAACACAUGAACGUAUACAUACAGGGGAGAAGCCUUAUUACUGCCCUGACUGUGGAAAACGUUUUAAAACAUCAAAUGAGCUAAAAGUUCAUCAAAGAAUACAUACAGGAGAGAAGCCUUACGUCUGCUCUGACUGUGUAAAAUGCUUCACAACAUCAACUGAUCUAAAAGU